AUGAUUAUUACACGAAACAAAAGUACAAGAAUAUUAACUAAUUCCAACUGGAAACUGGGAUGAAGAUCAGAGGUUGGAGCUUCCCCUUUCCCUCAGUGGGAGCUGUGUCCCUGGGCCUCUCAGUUAAACUGCUGUACCAACCCCCAGCUGUGUGACUACUGAAAUCUCUUUAUAACUUAAAUACAAGGUCUGAUGUCUGCCUGGCCUUACAUUAUUUAUGAAAUGCCUGUUCAUGUGUGUCACCAUUAUAUCUCACUGCAUAAUCCCAGCAGGAAUUCUGAUGCUAGAACCUCUCUGCAGAUCACCAUUUACGCUGGAAGGAUGUUGUGCCUACUGGGAAGUGUCAUUUCCUUAAGAUACUCAAAACAUGAGAUAAGCUGGCAAAAUCUGGCUUAGGAGAAGUGUAUUUCCAAAAAUUAAGUAAUUUUUUUUAUAUCCCCCAAAAACCAGGGGCAGAGCUUGCCAGUUCCUGUAACUGCCCAGUCUCCUCCUCAGGGAAGAAAUGCCUGUGCUGUCACUGCCCCAACUCCUGACAAACCUAUUUGUUUACUUACCACCAGUCUCUCCAGGCUCGCUGAAUUAUGUUGUAACCCCUCUUCUUAUAUAAAAUAACAAUAAUCUAAAAGCUUCUGUGCCUGCUGCCCAUGUGACACCGACUGUCCCUGUAGCAGUGCUGGCACUGGCCCCAGUGUGCCCAACUCUAAAAUCUUUUCUGAACCAGAUUGUUGCUGCCAUCAGUGGGAGUCUGACAGAAGCAAUGGGACUGGGGCUGCUGGUGGAUUUUGGAGAGUGAGAAGAUUCACCAAGGAGCAGCCUGUGCAAUACAAAACCCCAGAGAGUCACCUGUGUUUGCCCAUGGCUGUCCCUGUGAGAAGAGCUCACUGAGGGGUGGCAAUCCUAAUAUUUACAAGAACAAGUGGGAUUAACACAGAGAAAUACUGGUCAACUACCACUAACUAAUGGUAGUCAGAGAGGUUAAAGAUGCCACUUUCCAGCUCUAUCAAAAGCAAC